rnacentral:misc_RNA from 1 species
CCGAGUUUACAACUCCCAAAACCCCCUGUGAACUUAUACCUUUACCGUUGCUUCGGCGGGUUUGUCCUGGAACCAGGCGCCCGCCGGGGGACCAAAACUCCUGUAUUUUUUACUUUUAUAUGUCUGAGUGGAAUCAUACAAAAUGAAUCA